AUGAUGCCCAGCUUGCUGGGNUGAUUAGUGGCGAACGGGUGAGUAACACGUGAGUAACCUGCCCCUGACUUUGGGAUAACUCCGGGAAACCGGGGCUAAUACCGGAUAUGAGCCGUCCUCGCAUGGGGGUGGUUGGAAAGUUUUUCGGUCAGGGAUGGGCUCGCGGCCUAUCAGCUUGUUGGUGGGGUGAUGGCCUACCAAGGCGACGACNGGUAGCCGGCCUGAGAGGGCGACCGGCCACACUGGGACUGANACACGGCCCANACUCCUACGGGAGGCAGCANUGGGGAAUAUUGCACAAUGGGCGCAAGCCUGAUGCAGCGACGCCGCGUGAGGGAUGAAGGCCUUCGGGUUGUAAACCUCUUUCAGCAGGGAAGAAGCGCAAGUGACGGUACCUGCAGAAGAAGCGCCGGCUAACUACGUGCCAGCAGCCGCGGUAAUACGUAGGGCGCAAGCGUUGUCCGGAAUUAUUGGGCGUAAAGAGCUCGUAGGCGGUUUGUCGCGUCUGGUGUGAAAACUCGAGGCUCAACCUCGAGCUUGCAUCGGGUACGGGCAGACUAGAGUGCGGUAGGGGAGACUGGAAUUCCUGGUGUAGCGGUGGAAUGCGCAGAUAUCAGGAGGAACACCGAUGGCGAAGGCAGGUCUCUGGGCCGCAACUGACGCUGAGGAGCGAAAGCAUGGGGAGCGAACAGGAUUAGAUACCCUGGUAGUCCAUGCCGUAAACGUUGGGCACUAGGUGUGGGGCUCAUUCCACGAGUUCCGUGCCGCAGCAAACGCAUUAAGUGCCCCGCCUGGGGAGUACGGCCGCAAGGCUAAAACUCAAAGGAAUUGACGGGGGCCCGCACAAGCGGCGGAGCAUGCGGAUUAAUUCGAUGCAACGCGAAGAACCUUACCAAGGCUUGACAUGCACGAGAAGCCACCAGAGAUGGUGGUCUC
rnacentral:rRNA from 1 species